rnacentral:rRNA from 1 species
AGAGUUUGAUCAUGGCUCAGGAUGAACGCUAGCUACAGGCUUAACACAUGCAAGUCGAGGGGCAGCAUGGUCUUAGCUUGCUAAGGCCGAUGGCGACCGGCGCACGGGUGAGUAACACGUAUCCAACCUGCCGUCUACUCUUGGACAGCCUUCUGAAAGGAAGAUUAAUACAAGAUGGCAUCAUGAGUCCGCAUGUUCACAUGAUUAAAGGUAUUCCGGUAGACGAUGGGGAUGCGUUCCAUUAGAUAGUAGGCGGGGUAACGGCCCACCUAGUCUUCGAUGGGUAGGGGUUCUGAGAGGAAGGUCCCCCACAUUGGAACUGAGACACGGUCCAAACUCCUACGGGAGGCAGCAGUGAGGAAUAUUGGUCAAUGGGCGAGAGCCUGAACCAGCCAAGUAGCGUGAAGGAUGACUGCCCUAUGGGUUGUAAACUUCUUUUAUAAAGGAAUAAAGUCGGGUAUGGAUACCCGUUUGCAUGUACUUUAUGAAUAAGGAUCGGCUAACUCCGUGCCAGCAGCCGCGGUAAUACGGAGGAUCCGAGCGUUAUCCGGAUUUAUUGGGUUUAAAGGGAGCGUAGAUGGAUGUUUAAGUCAGUUGUGAAAGUUUGCGGCUCAACCGUAAAAUUGCAGUUGAUACUGGAUAUCUUGAGUGCAGUUGAGGCAGGCGGAAUUCGUGGUGUAGCGGUGAAAUGCUUAGAUAUCACGAAGAACUCCGAUUGCGAAGGCAGCCUGCUAAGCUGCAACUGACAUUGAGGCUCGAAAGUGUGGGUAUCAAACAGGAUUAGAUACCCUGGUAGUCCACACGGUAAACGAUGAAUACUCGCUGUUUGCGAUAUACAGCAAGCGGCCAAGCGAAAGCGUUAAGUAUUCCACCUGGGGAGUACGCCGGCAACGGUGAAACUCAAAGGAAUUGACGGGGGCCCGCACAAGCGGAGGAACAUGUGGUUUAAUUCGAUGAUACGCGAGGAACCUUACCCGGGCUUAAAUUGCAGAUGAAUUACGGUGAAAGCCGUAAGCCGCAAGGCAUCUGUGAAGGUGCUGCAUGGUUGUCGUCAGCUCGUGCCGUGAGGUGUCGGCUUAAGUGCCAUAACGAGCGCAACCCUUGUUGUCAGUUACUAACAGGUUCCGCUGAGGACUCUGACAAGACUGCCAUCGUAAGAUGUGAGGAAGGUGGGGAUGACGUCAAAUCAGCACGGCCCUUACGUCCGGGGCUACACACGUGUUACAAUGGGGGGUACAGAGGGCCGCUACCACGCGAGUGGAUGCCAAUCCCAAAAACCUCUCUCAGUUCGGAUCGAAGUCUGCAACCCGACUUCGUGAAGCUGGAUUCGCUAGUAAUCGCGCAUCAGCCAUGGCGCGGUGAAUACGUUCCCGGGCCUUGCACACACCGCCCGU